rnacentral:rRNA from 1 species
GAUGAACGCUAGCUUAGGCUUAACACAUGCAAGUCGAGGGGAAACGGCAAAGAGUGCUUGCACCCUUUGGACGUCGACCGGCGCACGGGUGAGUAACGCGUAUCCAACCUGCCCUUUACUUGGGGAUAACCCGUUGAAAGACGGACUAAUACCCAAUGAUAUUCAUUGAUGACAUCUGAUUUGAAUUAAAGAUUUAUCGGUAUAGGAUGGGGAUGCGUCUGAUUAGCUUGUUGGUGAGGUAACGGCUCACCAAGGCAACGAUCAGUAGGGGUUCUGAGAGGAAGGUCCCCCACAUUGGAACUGAGACACGGUCCAAACUCCUACGGGAGGCGGCAGUGAGGAAUAUUGGUCAAUGGACGAGAGUCUGAACCAGCCAAGUAGCGUGCAGGAUGACGGCCCUAUGGGUUGUAAACUGCUUUUGUUUGGGAAUAAUCGACAUUACGUGUAAUGUUUUGCAUGUACCAUUCGAAUAAGGACCGGCUAAUUCCGUGCCAGCAGCCGCGGUAAU